GGAGUUUGAGCAAUUUUAUCUUCAGAGGAGUGUUUAGAGUCUUUCAUCAACAGGUGGAAUCUGGCAGGGAUGGAUGUAUUGUGAAGCGUACACAUCUUCUGAUCUGGUUCCACCCAGUCGAUGCGGGACCCUAAGGACUCCUCGAUAGCCUCC